AUGAGUGUGUAUAUAUAAAUGUCAUAUAAAGUAUAUUUUACAUGGCAUGCAAGAAUUGUUUAACAUUAGAAAAUCAAUCAUAUAAUUUAUCACAUUGACAUAUUACAAUUCAUAAUGGGAAACAUUCAGGGAAAUUCGACACCUGUUCAUAAUUUUUAAAAAAAUCUUUGCCAACUGGUAUGAAUCAUAGCUCCAUGACUUAUUCAUUAAUAAAUUUUAAUUCAGGUAAAGACAAUCUAAGCUUUGUACAAAAAAGGAAAUGAGUGGAUGAGAAGAGGAAAGAGAAUGGAGGCAAAGAGAACAAUUAUGAGGUCAUCAUGACAAAUCCAGGCUGGAUGCAGUGGACCCAGUGGACAAGACUAUAGAGCACGGAGGGCCACCUUGAAAGCAGUCACAACCUACAGAAGGCAGCAUCAGGCAGCUGCCAACAAGUUUUGUUAAGAGUGAGAUCAGGGCUUCCCUACGAGAAUGACAAUGACUUCAUUGGGCUUUAAGGAAAUUCAUUCAGGUGUGGAGUUGGGUGGAAAGUGCCAGAAAAGUAUGAGUGACCCAACAUCUAGAGUUUGGUAAUUAUUUCAUAACUGCCUGGUGCUUAAACAUUUGGGACACCAGAUUACAGACUGUAUUACCUAAGGACCAAACCCAGAUCAGAGGGAGAAGGUACUAGAACCCUUUGCCAGGAGCAAUCUCCUGCUGAAACCAUCCAAGGGGCAGGAUCCACAGCAGGACAAAGGAACUUUUGAAAGGGACUUGAAAAAGAGUUCAGUUACUCUGUGGUUAACCCAUCAAAGGCGUCUUCCUGUAACCCAGAGGACAGCAGGCCUCGACAUGUGCCGGCCAUUUGGAAAACAGAGUCAUAUGGAGUAGAUCAAACAUUUCAGGAGAGCCCCUUGCCUUGAAAACACGGACCCUUAUGAAAAUCAUUAAGCAAUUGGUUGUUAUUUAUUUGCUUACACUGUGCUUCAGCAAAGCAAGCAGGAAGAUGAGGAUAAGAACCACUGAGCCAGUUUCAGAGGCCCUAGUUCAGGAGAGAAGGAUUCCCUUACACCCCGGAUUUUAAAGAGCCUUUUACGAAGACAUCCGACCACACGGCUGGCAUAGGGAGGCUGUCUUGGCUCCCUUCGACUGUGUAUUAGGUUAACAACCACCUCAAGCUUCUCAGAAGCCUAGAAAUCCCCAGGCUGUUAGAGGAAUUCCACAGGGCUAAGAAAACGCUUGCAAUCUUAGCACUGGAAGCAGAAAACUAUUUCCAAACAUCGUCCUUUCUCACUCUGUGGCCCUUUGUGUAACCCACUCCCAGCCUCAGAAAACUGGGUGGCUCCACAGCACACCCCCAGAUCUGUCCUUCUUAAUGAGCCAAGCACUCUUCAUUCAUGGCUUGGAUCCGUGGACCUGGGAAUGAACAAGGAGCAAGUCCGUAUUUUCACUUCGGGAGUUACCAGGUUAUUGCGCAUCGAGUUCCUUCUAAACUAAAGUAAUUCCAUUGUCUGAUGCCUGGAACUUUGCUUGCUUUGAAGUUUAAGGAAGUAGCCCCUCAAGAUUCAUCCGUCUCCUAGCCUCAACUUCCCUUUCACUCAGACGCAAAGUGCUUGUGAGUGGAGAAGGGCUCAGCAGCAUGUCAUCAUUCUUACACUUUGGGCUUUCAAGUGAUCUGUGCUCUGGGGGAUGCUGAAUGCAUCGCCUCAGAGGCUCUGGGAAGUGGGGGAGGAGGCUGGCUCUUGGAAGCUGAACUCAACUUCUCCCAGAACAUUACAGAGGUUGAAAAAAUCUGUCCUCCAAAUAUUCAACACAUAUGUUCUGAAAUUCAUUAAGUUCCAAAAUUAAAAAACAAGUUUAAAAGAUCCAGCAUUGGUUCUUGUACAAAGCAGAUACUCAAGGAAUGCUUGUUGACUGAGGAAUUUGUUAGCUGAUAAAUAUGAGAAAUACAGUCUGUUUUGUAGCACAUGGCAGCUGAGGUUGCUAGGAAGACAUUUGUCCCUGGUUUGUCAUUAUACAAGCUUUAGAAAAUGAAUUGCCUAAACCCUACCUGUGUUUGAAGAACAACUUCCCUGACAAAGCCUUCUCAAUGCUCUCUGCUUUGUCAUUUUUGGAGGGGACAACUAUCACUUGGCUUUGAGUUGUUAAUUAACUUUUUGUGAUCUUCCCAACUUCAUGGUCCCCAAAGGGAAAAUUCUGUCUUAUUUCUCGUUUACGUAAAUUUUGGAGGUAACCCCCUCAGGAUCCAACAUGAGUUUCUGCACAAAGUACAUACUCAACAACUGUUUGUUGACAGAUCAAUUUGUUCAUUAAUAGAUAUUAAAAAUACAGUCUGGUCUGUACCAUAUGACAGCUGAAGUUGCAGUACACAAAAAGCGUCAUUCUCUGCUACUUUUUUAUAGACCGUACUUAGAAGAAAUAUUUUUCAGAAGACCUUUUCUGUGGUCUCAAGUUAGGUUUAGACACCAGUAUUUAAGAGGGAAUAAUGUGUUUUAUGCAGUAAAAUAAGACAGCAACUAUACAAAUAUUGCAACACUGCAGUGACUUUUUCUGUUGACAGAGAUGUUGAUUAAUUUCUAGUAGGCCCAUGACAGCCAUUUCUGAGGAUCCUUAGUUAUGAGAGAUGCUCGGUAGAUGAGCUAAUCAGGUUUUUUUAGAGUACAAGAUCUAGUCUUGAUGCUUUUUGUAUUAAGAAAGAAAGGAAGGGAGGGGGAAGGGAAAGAGAGAGAGAGCAAGUGAGGAAAAAGGAAGGAAGGAAGGAAGAAACUCUGUUAAAAUAUCCACAUACGUGAUUUAACCACUUAUUAGCUAAUGACUCGUACACAUAACAAGUACGUCAUUAUAAGAAAGUUGAAAGGAAAAAUAAAUUCCAACCCUAGAAAUAUAAUUUGGGGAUCUUUCCCCCACUUUGCCCAAUGCCAUUGUACUUCCAGGCCUAAGGAAAGCUCAUUCUGGGAGUCUACCUAAACUCUAGAACUUCUAAGUAUCACUCUUCUUAUCAGUGCUUCAGAUCGGGAUAUUCUUCCAAUAGAAGUCUGGGAAAUGGGUCUUUACAUUCACUUGCACGUCUUAUCAUUGGGAAAAUAGCCUCCCCACAGCAGGUACUGGCUCCUUUCGGUGGACUCUGAAGGCAUCGUCUCAUUUAAUCACUCCAUGGAGGCAGGAGCUGUCUCUUUUAUUUGAGGAGGGCUGAUACACGAGAGGUGCCCAAUACCUAUCUGUCAAGAAAAUACAUUCUCCUAUCAGCCCUAUGAAGUAGCAGCAGGAGGCCAGUUUACUGGAUGGGGAAAUUCAAAUGUGAAGGGAACAAGUCACUUGCCUGAGAUCUUCGCAGAGCCUGAUUUGUACCACUGUCUCUCUGACUAGCCUCUGUGCUGAGCCCUCCUGCGAGAAGGCAACCAUCUACCUUGGUACCCACCCUCAUCAAUAUAUCUGGAGGGCUACUUUCAAGGGUAUCCUUUCCUUUUGCUGUAGACAGGCCUCUCACUGUUGUGGCCUCUCCCGU